AUUAUUUUUCAUAUUAAGUUGAUAUUAUUACGUUUUACGAGCAAUUUCUAUGUAAUCUAUCUACUAUAAUAUUGUUUUUUUUUUUAUUCAUUGAUCGCACAUCAUAUUGUUUUAUUUAAAUAAAGAGAACAUCGUUUUUACUAAAGAUACUCAAACCCUGUCGUCUAAAAUGUAUUUAAACAAAUAAUAUUGCUGUUUUGCGGAAUGCACUUUAAAGGCAUUCAGACAGAACUGUUAAUAAUAAUAUUAAGUAAAGCAUAUGUCUAUUUUUGGAGGACUAAUUUCAUGAAUAAAAAAUAAUAUUGAUGCAUAUAUUAUUUUUAUUUGUAUAAAUAUACAAAUAUUAUUGUUACAGAAAAUGAUUAUACAUGAUUAGAUCAAUUCAGUAUUAUUCCAAUCCAAUCCGUGUCAUUGUCCAAAAUACUGUGGAAGGCAAUACAAAGAUUUACUUAAUAUAUGGUUAAGUCAAUUAGAUAUUUUAACUCAUGAUGAUCCAUGUAUCUGCCCAAAUAACUGUGGAAAAAUGUACAAGGGGCAAUUUAGAAAAGCCCACUUACGACAACAUUUGGUAUAUGAAUGUGGAGUACCACCUAAGUUUCAAUGUGGAAUUUGUUUCAAACGUUUUGCUAGGAAAACACAUUUAAAAAAUCACUCAAUAUCUAUUCACAAAAUCAAUCAUCUUUACUAAUCACCUUCCAGAUCCUGCAUUAUGCCCUAACAAAUGUGGCCGUUCGUAUAAAGGUGAUUUUAGAAAACAAUUAUUGAAACGUCACUUAACAUAUGAGUGUGGUGUGCCUCCAAGAUUCAGAUGCAUUGUAUGUUUAAAACGUUUUACAAGAAACU